UACGUAGGGGGCGAGCGUUGUCCGGAAUUAUUGGGCGUAAAGAGCGUGUAGGCGGUUCGGUAAGUCUGCCGUGAAACCCUGGGGCUCAACCCCGGGCGUGCGGUGGAUACUGCCGGGCUAGAGGGUGGUAGAGGCGAGUGGAAUUCCCGGUGUAGCGGUGAAAUGCGCAGAUAUCAGGAAGAACACCUAUGGCGAAGGCAGCUCUCUGGGACGGUACUGACGCUGAGACGCGAAAGCGUGGGGAGCGAACAGG
rnacentral:rRNA from 1 species